AGGUCGUUUUGGGGGCAUUUUCGAAGUAGACCCUUGUAGCUCUCCCAUGCUUUAAACAACGACUCUCCCACUUGUUGCUCAAAGUUAGCGAUAGCCUUUUUGAGCUU